AUUCGACUUAAACUCCACCCGUGACGUCACCCUAUUGUCCUAGCGCUCCAUUAUUUUGCACGAAUGGAGCGACUUUGUUUCAUACAAAGACACACGUUUUGUCUUAUUGCGUAACUGUAAAAUGCAUUCAAAGGAAUUGUACAGAAUUGGACUGCGAAUAGUAUGUUAGCAUAAUGUUCUUACGUAACCAAUACAAUGCUGGAUUCUAGGCGCGCUUGGUAUAAAUGCUAAACCCCACCAAGGCACCAUGCAUUCGUUCUUGACUAGCGUGUCUGACACGCAGUUUUCAAUCUCAAGACGUUAGGACUGUUAUGAUAAAAAUACGUGAGAUACAGUGGAAUUAAAGCGUGCCAGGGAACUGUCUUUGAUACGGUGCUGAUACUAGCUCCAUGGAUAUAUCGGAUAAUAAUUUGCCGGCCGCUUCAAAUUUUGCCUGGAAGAUAUGAAAGACCAUUUCGACACUCCAAAUGAAUAUGAAGAUUGCAUGAAUGAGUAUAAAGUUCUGCCUGUGGAUAGUGUCACGAAGAAGGUCAAAACUAGCGGGCAGUCUCCAGUCGGACUACUUCGUCGACGGCAUUACCAACGUAACUCGAGACUAGUAAAACUACUCAUCGUUGGACAAGGAAGGACGAGCUAAAACCACUCAAAAUUGCAAGACUAAGAUUUUGGUGGUUUUUUUUUUGUGUGCAAAAUGGCUACAAGUGUUCCAGGCCGGAUUUACAUUGCACGAACUUGUGAUUUUCCUUCAACUUUUCUUGGACACCAUGGAAAAGACCUACACAUUUCUUCAGGAUGUUGAGUUCUUGCCGAUCAAGAAUUUCUAGGACUGCAUGCUAGGCAUUGAAACCCAGGAACAAGAUUGAGAAAUAAAUUGCACUGCGAACCUUGUCAAAACAUUUGCUUUCAAUGUGAAACAUAUCACUGAAACGUUUAUAUUGUUACAUGUAACAUUACUUUGUGCAAACAUUAUGAACAAGAAAAAAAUGGUUCUUGACUUUCGCCUCAACACUAAGAAAUUGUAUACGAGAAUGCAUAACAUUCUAUUUGCAAAACGGUGUAGCAUACUGUAUAAAAAAUAUGGUUAUAUUGACUUUCACGUAAAGAAUGAUGCCUAAAAUUCCAUUUAAGAAACGGUGUAGGGCCUACGAAAAAAAUCUGUAUGAGAAAAAAAAUGGUUCUCGACUAACGUAAGCAUUGUACGAAAUGUAUAAGAAAAUGCAUAAAAUCAUCAUUGAGAAACGGUGUAAGACUAUAACUGUGUCAUUUUUGGUGUUUCUUUAUUUCCCGCUCCAUUAUUUUGUAGGAAUGGAGUGAUGGAGGCUUUAUUACCUUCCAAAAGAAUGGAGAGGUAUCGCCUCCAACGCUCCAUUCGGGCAAAAUAAUGGAGCGCUAGGACAAUAGGGUGACGUCACGGGUGGAG